rnacentral:RNase_P_RNA from 2 species
CGGAUCGGUCAGACAGUCGCUGGCAGCGCCUUUCUAGGAAGGGGAUGCUGGAGGAAAGUCCGGGCUCCGCAGGGCAGGGUGCCAGGUAACGCCUGGGGGCUACACUGGUGACGGUGUGGCUACGGCUAGUGCCACAGAGAAGAUACCGCCUGUUCCACCUUGGGUGAUCAGGUAAGGGUGAAAAGGUGCGGUAAGAGCGCACCGCGCCGCUGGUAACAGUGGUGGCAGGGUAAACCCCACCCGGAGCAAGACCAAAUAGGGAUCCUAUGGCGUGGCCCGCGCUGGAUCCGGGUAGGUUGCUAGAGGCUGGUGGCGACGCCAGCCCCAGAUGAAUGACUGUCCACGACAGAACCCGGCUUAUCGACCGAUCCACCUU